rnacentral:rRNA from 1 species
GACGAACGCUGGCGGCGUGCCUAAUACAUGCAAGUUGAGCGCUGAAGGUUGGUACUUGUACCAACUGGAUGAGCAGCGAACGGGUGAGUAACGCGUGGGGAAUCUGCCUUUGAGCGGGGGACAACAUUUGGAAACGAAUGCUAAUACCGCAUAAAAACUUUAAACACAAGUUUUAAGUUUGAAAGAUGCAAUUGCAUCACUCAAAGAUGAUCCCGCGUUGUAUUAGCUAGUUGGUGAGGUAAAGGCUCACCAAGGCGAUGAUACAUAGCCGACCUGAGAGGGUGGUCGGCCACAUUGGGACUGAGACACGGCCCAAACUCCUACGGGAGGCAGCAGUAGGGAAUCUUCGGCAAUGGACGAAAGUCUGACCGAGCAACGCCGCGUGAGUGAAGAAGGGUUUCGGAUCGUAAAACUCUGUUGGUAGAGAAGAACGUUGGUGAGAGUGGAAAGCUCAUCAAGUGACGGUAACUACCCAGAAAGGGACGGCUAACUACGUG